UGUCUGGCACAGUGACAAAUGAUAACCUCCACAUUUGUAUGUUCCACCAUUGUCGCUACACCGUACACACCCCUUUCCAUUUGUGUGUUUCGCUACAAUUUCGCUCUUAUCGCUCACACUCUGUUUUUUUCUACAGUUACAUUUUACGCUGAACGCCGAACAUGUGACUCUGACUCUCCCAGUGUAGAGCUUGUUGGUUUCAUUUUCCAAGGCUCAAACCAUGCAAACAAGAAUCGUGUGCUACUUCUCCUGAUUUUUUUUAAAAUAAUAAAAGUAAACAAUUUUCAGUAUUAUUAGUUGUUUUGUUUGUUCCGAAACCAAAAGAUUGGUGUACGUGUGUCCACUUCGCUUCAACUUUCGUCAUGGCCUCGGUAAUGGGUUUUCGGGUCUCACCCGUUUCUGUUAUAAGCUCACUGAGAAUGACCAGUUUUCGAAUUCGGGCUCAGAGCUUGGACAGUGGAAGCUCGACGGUGUUGUCUUCUGAAUCUGAUUCAGUGGAAGCAGUGAACGGAGCUUCUGUGGUUGUGGGGUCUCAUCAAAAUGGUGUUUUGAUUAAGGAGGAAAGGAGAGUGGGUUUGUUGCAUGGUGGAGUUGAAGAGAAGAAGUGUGAAGAAGGUUUGGCACCACUUUGGGAUGAUGGAUAUGGGGUUCGAACUGUGGAAGAUUACUUUGUUGCAGCUAAGGAUAUGUGCAAGUUUGAUGGAGGCCCACCUCGAUGGUUUUGCCCAGUUGAAUGUGGUUCUCCUUCAAAAGAUUCUCCCACUCUUCUGUUUCUACCUGGGAUGGAUGGCACGGGAUUUGGCCUUUCUUUGCAUCAUCAAGCUCUUGGGAAGGCUUUUGAAGUUCGCUGCUUGCAUAUUCCGGUUCAUGAUCAAACACCAUUUGAAGGUCUUUGCUUUUUAAUGGCUGGUGAAACUUGUUGAAGAAGCUGUUAAACUUGAGCAUGCUUUGGCUCCAAAUAAGCCAAUUUAUCUGGUAGGUGAUUCCUUUGGUGGAUGCCUAGCACUUGCUGUUGCUGCUCGUAAUCCAACAGUUGACCUAGUACUGAUAUUAGCCAAUCCUGCUACAUCCUUUGGCAGAUCUCAGUUACAACCUUUGUUUCCUAUCUUGGAGGCUUUGCCUAAUGAACUGCAUGUCACUGUUCCCUUCCUUCUUAGUUUUGUUAUGGGUGAUCCAAUGAAGAUGGCAUCAGUCAACAUCGGCAAUAGGCUUCCUCUGAUAAAGAAAAUUGAACAAUUAUCAUACAACCUUACUGCAUUGCUACCAUGUCUUCCUGAUAUGGCUAAUAUUAUACCAAGGGACACUCUUCUUUGGAAGGUGAAACUUCUCAAAUCUGCUGCUGCAUAUGCUAAUUCGCGUCUUCAUGCUGUCAAAGCUGAAGUACUUGUGCUUGCUAGUGGCAAGGAUAACAUGCUUCCCAGUGUAAAUGAAGCUAAAAGACUUGCAGGCUUAUUGCAAAACUGCAAAGUUCGUAACUUCAAGGACAAUGGGCACACCCUUCUUCUGGAAGAUGGCAUUGGUCUGCUAACAAUCAUCAAGGGGACUUGCAUGUACCGUCGUUCAAGUCGGCAUGAUUUUGUCAAGGAUUUCAUUCCUCCCAGUAUGACAGAAUUCAGAUAUGCAAUGGAUCAAGUAGUUGGGUAAUUUGAUCUGGCAAUAUUAUGCUCAUCUUGUGUUCUUUCUAUUAGAAAAUUACUAGUUAAUGUCCUUAUUGCCUUGAUGGGUGAAAAUAAAGGGGGGGGGGGGGGUUGUUGAAGAAUUAAAGCUGAUAUGCUACUGAUAUGGAUUGCAGUUUGUUUCGUUCUGUUACUGGAUCGGUAUUUUUCUCAACCUUGGAUGAUGGGACGAUUGUAAAAGGUCUCUCUGGUGUUCCAGAUGAAGGUCCUGUCUUAUACGUUGGUUAUCACAUGUUGUUGGGGUUAGAGCUUAUCUCACUUACAGAUGAAUUUUUAAGUCAAAAGGGUAUUGCGCUUCGUGGAAUAGCCCAUCCUGAGCUGUUUACAGCAAAAAUAGAAAAUUUUUCUUCUGAGUUUUCUGUGUUUGAUUGGGUGAAGAUAUUUGGUGGUGUACCUGUUUCAGCAAGCAAUCUUUUUAAAUUACUUUCAACAAAAUCACAUGUUCUCUUAUACCCCGGAGGUGCGCGCGAGGCUCUCCAUUUUAAGGGGGAGGAAUACAAGUUGAUUUGGCCUGAUCAUCCUGAAUUUGUGAGAAUGGCAGCACGAUUUGGUGCUACAAUUGUGCCAUUUGGAGCUGUAGGCGAAGAUGAUAUAGCUGAAUUAGCUCUUGACUACAACGACUUAAUGAAGAUUCCCUUAGUCAACGAUUACAUCAGAAAUAUGAGUCGUGACUCAAUUAAGUUUAGGGAUGAAAUAAGUGGGGAGGUAGCAAACCAAAAUAUCACUUUUCCAGUGCUUCUACCCAAAAUACCAGGUCGCUUUUACUAUCUAUUUGGGAAACCCAUAAGAACAAAAGGCAUGGAGAAGAUGCUAAAAGACAGAGAAAUUGCAAGCCAACUUUACUUGCAGAUUAAGUCAGAAGUUGAACGAAAUAUAGAUUACUUGAUCAAGAAGAGGGAGGAGGAUCCAUACAGGAAUUUCAUUGAUAGGAAAGUGUAUCAGACAUUUAAUCCUCCUGAAACUGAUUCAACCCCAGCAUUUAAGCCCUGAAAAUGCGUUGGUACAUAAUGUAAUCAUAAUUAUUUUUAAGCAGAUACAUGUAGAUUGUCAUCAUUCUAAUAAAAAAAAUGGUGCAUUUGUUCGUUACAUUUGUAACAUUAUGAGUCUCACAUUGAGUACAAUAAGAAAUUCAAUGAAUUACU